CCUACGGGAGGCAGCAGUCGAGAAUCAUUCACAAUGGGGGAAACCCUGAUGGUGCGACGCCGCGUGGGGGAAUGAAGGUCUUCGGAUUGUAAACCCCUGUCAUGUGGGAGCAAAUUAAAAAGAUAGUACCACAAGAGGAAGAGACGGCUAACUCUGUGCCAGCAGCCGCGGUAAUACAGAGGUCUCAAGCGUUGUUCGGAAUCACUGGGCGUAAAGCGUGCGUAGGCUGUUUCGUAAGUCGGGUGUGAAAGGCGCGGGCUCAACCCGCGGACGGCACAUGAUACUGCGAGACUAGAGUAAGGGAGGGGGAACCGGAAUUCUCGGUGUAGCAGUGAAAUGCGUAGAUAUCGAGAGGAACACUCGUGGCGAAGGCGGGUUCCUGGACAUUAACUGACGCUGAGGCACGAAGGCCAGGGGAGCGAAAGGGAUUAGAUACCCUUGUAGUC
rnacentral:rRNA from 1 species